UGCGGGGGAUGGCGUUUUGUGGGUCCUUCCAGGGCUUUUGGCGAUGUUCGGGGAAGCUCUACCGGCCUUUCUUUUGCCUUCUCUAUAGGUCUUGGAGGGAAUCUUUGUGUUGCAGUUGGGUUAGUGAGGUAUAGGGACUUUAUUGUGUGUGGGCUGAGGGUCAGAAGAUGUAGCUAUAGUAGGGAAGGGGGAAUUAAGUGGACUUGUAUGGAUAGGGAGGGUUGAAGUACUUGUAUGUAGCUUAGGGAGCAGUUUAGGCUCUCAAAACUUGAGAAAUUUUGUGGUACUACCCAUCAGCAUUUUAGAGCUAGUGAUAGUACAUAGUACAGCUGCUGAGCCAGGCUUACGAGCUCCUCUUCCUUAGUUUUGUGAGUGGUGUUGAGAAUAUAAUGGUGGCUGGAGUCAACUGACUUAAACUCUUUUUACAGCACAGCAGUGCCCUAUUUUAAAUUGAUAUUUGCGUAAAUCGAAGUACUUUGUAAAUGUCCAAGGCCUUAGCACCACUGCCAUGGCUUGUGCUGAUAAAAGGCACUUGUAGUUCAGGACUAAGGUAACCAACAGUAGAGCCGAAGAGCAGAACUUUUUUGCUCCAUAAGCUCUCCUGACCUUCAGCAACUUAUAGAUUUGCUUAUCUGUGAUUUAUGGUGUUCAAUGUUAAGUUGCUUGAUUACAUGCAGGUGUUCCUGUUACUUAUCUACAUGUAAACUUUUUCAAUGUUAUCAUUUCAUUUAUUCCUUUCAAGUAGGCCGUUCAUUUUUGAUGUAGCAACAGACCUUACAGACUUUGCUCUUGUGAACUUGCAGCGCUUGAGGCCAUGUGUCUUUGUAUCUAGGAGACAGUCCCUUUAAUAAAUAGUUAAAACGGAUGCUAAGUCUCUGAAGCAGGUAAGGGGUAGCAUCCUUUCUGCUUUAUUAAUUGAUGCAUUUUUUGCCUCAUUAUUAGCUGUUUUAUGAUGUUUGCAGAUCCUCUUGUUAUUCCAGUGCAGGUGAGAAAGUGUUCUUGUGGUAGGCUGCCACAAAUUUUAAGUUUGGGGAAAAUGUAUGGUCCCUGGUGUCAUCUUUGAACUGAGAAUGGAGUCAUCUGAGGGCUGGGAAUUUGACUUCUCUCCCUUUCUCUUUGCUGCUGCUAAUUCCUCCUACACCAAAGCCAAUGCCAGCAUUGUGUGAGGAACCGCCCAUGCUCUUUGGGUGUGAAUCUUACACUGGUUUCACUCUGUGGCCUCAUUGUUGGCCUGUGCUUGUAGAAGAGAACUUGUACAUAAACUGCAGCCUUCAGGAAGAGGUGUGUUUGUGAAGACUCUGCUCUCUGAAGGAGAGAGCUGAUUUUAGCCUGACAUGGAACUGUCCUUAUUUCAUGCCUGUUCUGAUUUCCUGCUGCUGUGCUAACAAAUGCUGAUUUGUAGCCAUGAGAAAUUAUCACAGGAUUGUCUUGUUGAAAGCAGUCGGCCCUGUCAGUUUAUCAGUACCCAGCAGUGAGUGCAAGAUCCUGUUCUUUGACCCUUCUCUCAGCUCUUUUGUUGAGAGAUGUUCAUCAGUUGUAAUUGGAAGGAGCACAAAUAUGUAAUUAAUGCACCAUUCAGACGUGACAGAGCCACAGCAGAAAGUCUGCUGUUGCUCAUGAAACAGGUGCUGAACACUUCCUCGCCUUUCUUUCUUGCCUUUACUAUCCAACCCACAGGCUGCUGUAGGAUGGCAUUUUACUUUUUGGGCUCAAAACACAACAGUGUAUAUUGUAUCUCUUCAUUAACUGCCCAGGGAAGGACUGAUGGGGUGAGUGGUCCUAGUUUGCUCUGUGCUGCUUGUGAAGCCAGAAUUAGGAUGCUGCAAGAGGCAACAGGAGGAUAGUGGGUAUCAGAAGCUGCUUUUGAAGAAGCAUGGGUGUGCAAGGAGUCCCCUGGUAAACAUCUGCUGCAGAACUACACUUAGGUACCAGCUAGACAGCAAUCAUGGCUUUGGGUGAGUUUCAUAAGGAGUCAUAAAAGCAGCUAUUUUUAGUUGAGAGAAUUUAGAGCAUUGGGUUUAAUAAUAUCAGAGUAAGAAACAACACUUCUCUUGUGUAAGAGGAAAGGGAACACUGUUUUUUGGAGAAUCACAGAAUCGUAGUUAUUACUGUGAUAAUUUUUCAUGGCUGAAAAUCAGCAUUUGUUAGCACAGCAGAAGGAAAUCAGAAUAGGGCAUGGAAUAAUGACAGUUCCAAAAAUACAGGUACUGAGUCUCUACCACACCACAAUAGGAUUCGCGUUUGAAGUUGCUGAGAACAGAAGCUAUUGGUUUUAGCUGAGCAGAGUAGUGGGCUCCAUCUCUUGAGGUCCCUUCCAACCUCUGCAGUUCUGUGAUUUGGGGCUGUUAAUGUGCUGAACUGGAACCGCUGAUGUGUCAGUGAUUUGGUGUACUAAUCUUCUGUUCCAAGCCUGUCGAUGGUGGCAGGGCUGGGCUAAUCCUGUCGGGUUGAGACUUGAUUCUUCCUCCCCUCCUGGAGUGGCUCUCCCAAGUUCUCAUACAGACUGUGCUGUUUGGAUGUGAACAAUGCAGGGCACACUGAAGGUCUCAAUAUCUUAGCCGUCUGACUGGAAGAGUGCACAACCUCCUUCCUGCAGGAAUGUGGGACCCAGCUGGAAUGCCUACAUAAGCCUUGUUUAUCAGGAAGAGGCUUUGUGAUCUGUUGUAGCAGGAAACUGACAGUGCUGACCUCAAAGCACGUUAGUCAUCUGAUGCUGUGAAGGUUGGUGUUGCCUGGGAAGAUUGUCUUGUUUCUUGAAGGUGUCAGUGGUGAAGAUCAAGUGUGGGGGAUUCAGGCAGCGUUGUUGACACAGUCAGUGCAGGGAGAGGCAUAUGUGGUAUGUAAAGGCAGCAUUGCAGACCUUGAGCAUAGUGCAUCAAGUUGUCUGCACUACAGCUGAGACUCUGAAUGAGGCUGUGACCCUUCAGUCGAUACAGUAUGUUCAGAAGGUGUUAAGGUGGCACUGAACAAUGGCAGAGGGCUUGAUAUUGUCAUUCUCCGCUUUCUGAAUUUCUGCCUUGGUAUAAUCCCAGCAAAUGGUUAUCCAUCUGCUGCCUUACCGGUAAUUGUUGUCCUGCAUGCAUUCUUUAGGACUACAGAGAUCAAAGCUGGUGUUGGCAUGGGUAAAGACAGUCUGCUCUCCUUUUUAAAGCUGUUGUAUCAAUAUUGAAAAGAUCUGACAAGCAUAAAUUUCCUUAGUAUUUUAUGAGCGAGGCCUUGGAGAAGGGGAUUUUUGAGAUGUUUUGUUAACCAUUUUGGUGUCUACUGGCUUUGUGCAGAGCAAUUUCCUACACCUGGGAGGAGUUUAGGCUGCCGGGGACUGAGAAUUUGAGACUGAGACCAAGUGUCUUAUCUUACCCUUGGUGGUGAAAGAUAGUAGAUAAAACUGCUGAGUGAUGAACCAGAAAGAAGAGCAAAAGGAGGCUGGGAAUCCAUGAGUGGAACAGCAUGGGACUGUUGGGAUUCAGCGCAGCUCUCUGUAGGCUGCUAUCUGUUAAUGACAGAUGGCCAUGUCAGUACAAAUGUACAUUUUUUAGCAGAUCUGGUGGCUUCUCAUGAGAUGGAAUAGAGGUCUGUGGUACUGGGGCUGUCUGUAGUCUUCAGAAUUGAAUCCAAAUUUGGAUUUUGAAAUGCUGGAGUUGGCCACAGGCCACAGUCCACUUCAUUUCUGUAAUAGCUGAAAGCAGUUCUUGUUAAUUGGCCUAAUUUUUACUGAAUCAUAAUAGUUUAGGCUGCAAAGGACAUCAGGAGGGCAUCUGGUAUAGCCAUGUGCUCACAGUGCAAAUAACUGCACUUUUACAGUCUCAAGAUGGACAAAAAAAUCCAUUUCAGACAAAGCAAAUGGGAUCAGUUUCCUUCAGCCUGCGGUAUGACAGCACUGAGCUGUGUGCAAUCUGUAUUUAUAGUGGGGAAGAUUUAGUCAGUCUUACAAGUGGGUGUUGUUAUUACGAGAGAUGCUAGAACGCUUGUCUAGCUGUUAACUUUGGGAUGUUGAACCAGACUUGGUUCUCUUCCCUGCGGUGUGGACAGGAUUAUUAAUCACCACACUCACAGUGCUAAACUCAAGUGACACUACGGCUGGAGCUUGGCAAGAGUGCAAACUGAAUGGUGUAAGCACAGAACAGAGUUCCAGCCAGCAAUCUGUCAUCAGUAGCAUCCUGCUCUUAAGCUGGGCUGAUGGUCCUGCGUUUCCCCCAGGAACGUGAAAUUCUGAUACACGAGUGCAGGUCGCUAUCAAGAGAACUAAGGAAGGAUGUAGAUGUGGUAUUGAUGUCUUUCUUCAGGCUGUGUCUGAGGUAAGGAAAAUACUCUUUCCCUAUCUCUGCAGUUAGAAUAUGAAGCAGAAGCAGCAUUUCUUUCAUGUGUAGUUGCUUAAUUUAUCCUGUUGUUCUUUAUUUUCCUUGUUGAUA